rnacentral:rRNA from 1 species
AACGAACGCUGGCGGCAGGCCUAACACAUGCAAGUCGAACGCACCGCAAGGUGAGCGGCGCACGGGUGAGUAACACGUGGGAAUGUAUCCUUUGGUUCGGAAUAACGUCUGGAAACGGACGCUAAUACCGGAUGAGCCCUUAGGGGGAAAGAUAUAUCGCCAAAGGAGCAGCCCGCGUCUGAUUAGGUAGUUGGUGGGGUAAAGGCCUACCAAGCCGACGAUCAGUAGCUGGUCUGAGAGGAUGAUCAGCCACACUGGGACUGAGACACGGCCCAGACUCCUACGGGAGGCAGCAGUGGGGAAUAUUGGACAAUGGGCGCAAGCCUGAUCCAGCCAUGCCGCGUGAGUGAUGAAGGCCUUCGGGUUGUAAAGCUCUUUCGCACACGACGAUGAUGACGGUAGUGUGAGAAGAAGCCCCGGCUAACUUCGUGCCAGCAGCCGCGGUAAGAC